rnacentral:rRNA from 1 species
UACGUAGGGGGCAAGCGUUGUCCGGAUUUAUUGGGCGUAAAGAGCGUGUAGGCGGUUUGGUAGGUCCGCUGUGAAAACUCGAGGCUCAACCUCGAGACGCCGGUGGAAACCAUCAGACUAGAGUCCGGAAGAGGAGAGUGGAAUUCCUGGUGUAGCGGUGAAAUGCGCAGAUAUCAGGAAGAACACCGGUGGCGAAGGCGGGUCUCUGGGCCGUAACUGACGCUGAGGAGCGAAAGCAUGGGGAGCGAACAGG